CACCGCGGUUACACGAGAGGCUCAAGUUAAUAGACAUCGGCGUAAAGCGUGGUUAGGCUAACCUUAAAAUUAAAGUCGAACGCCCACAAAACUGUUAUACGUACCCGAAGGCAUGAAGCCCCACAACGAAAGUGACUUUAUCACCCCGAACCCACGACAAUCAUGACA
rnacentral:rRNA from 1 species